CUCCUUUAACUUAGUUUUCAAAGUUGUAGUUCAAUUGACUUCAGCAGAAUUACUCCCAAUUUAUACUAGUGUAAGUCAGAAAAGACCUACGCAUUUUGGACUACAACUCCCAGCCUGCUGCAUACUGAGUGGGCUGGUGAUUGAUGGCCUCAAUUAAAGUCUCCUCCUAUGCCAGCGACACUGAAAUGCAGAGGAAAUAUUAAAACGGAGCAAUAGGAGACAACUAGGACGAAAAACAACAAUCCACAGUUGCAAGAAAACCAGGAGAUGGUUGGAUGUAUUGGCUUUUAAGGAGAUGACCCUACUAGCACCCCCACAAGCAAUGUGAACACCUCACAGGUGUGUGAUUCUAGAGACAACAAGGAGGAUGAUAUGGUGGAUGAGGAAGAGGAGGAGAAUGGGAGACAGGCAAGCGGUGGAUCCAUUCUCCCUAAGAGCCAGGAAAAAUUUUGAAACCUGGAGUCCUGUGGGUUGUAGGACAUCAUGGUGACUGACUGUGAUACUGGAAAAGACACCUCUGCUAGAAAUGUGUCCUUUGGCAUGUCGUCAAGACCUGGAAGCAAACUUUCACCGAUUAGGAGGAGGAGAAAGAGAAUGCAGGAGAACAUGUUCACUGAGAUAAUGAAUGCCUCUGGGACAGCUGAGAGCAUGGAGGAUUUCACUGUCUGAGAAGUUAGACAUAGACAUGGAGAGAAGGAAAGCUUCCAAUGAGCAAGAGCGUGUGGCGCAGAAUGAGAUGCUUCGGAUUAUCAGAGACCAAACAGACAUGUUGAGGCGUCUGGUUGAACUGCAGGAACAGAAGCAGGAGAGUAGAGUCCCUCUGCAGACCUGGGUGGACAGCCAGCCAGCAUUGCCUGACGCAGAAGCACACGCUCCUCCAAGUGUUCCCUGAGGCAUGGGCAAAAAGUCCAUUAUCCCUUUCACUUAACUCAGGGGGAGGGCACAAGGAACAGAAGGCAUCCAUUCACAGACCUUUGAUGGUCUGGAAUGCGGUAUUAUGUUACACAGCUGAAAAUGUUUCUCCCAUUCCAACU